GACGAACGCUGGCGGCGUGCUUAACACAUGCAAGUCGAACGGAAAGGCCCUGCUUUUGUUGUGUGCUCGAGUGGCGAACGGGUGAGUAACACGUGAGUAACCUGCCCUUGACUUUGGGAUAACUUCAGGAAACUGGGGCUAAUACCGGAUAGGAGCUCCUGCUGCAUGGUGGGGGUUGGAAAGUUUCGGCGGUUGGGGAUGGACUCGCGGCUUAUCAGCUUGUUGGUGGGGUAGUGGCUUACCAAGGCUUUGACGGGUAGCCGGCCUGAGAGGGUGACCGGCCACAUUGGGACUGAGAUACGGCACAGACUCCUACGGGAGGCAGCAGUGGGGAGUAUUGCACAAUGGGCGGAAGCAUGAUGCAGCAACGCCGCGUGCGGGAUGACGGCAUUCGGGUUGUAAACCGCUUUCGCAUGUGACGAAGCGUGAGUGACGGUAAUGGGUAAAGAAGCACCGGCUAACUACGUG
rnacentral:rRNA from 1 species